rfam:Dipodomys ordii contig_27348, whole genome shotgun sequence.
GGUGGCUCAGUGGUAGAGUGCUUGCCUUGCAUGCAUGAAGCCCUGGGUUCAAUUCCUGAGCACCA